GUCAGUGUGGUGGUCUCAGGUUAGUGUGUAUUGUCACUGUGGUGGUCUCAGGUUAGUGUGUAUUGUCACUGUGGUGGUCUCAGGUUAGUUGGUAUUGUCAGUGUGGUGGUCUCAGGUUAGUUGGUAUUGUCAGUGUGGUGGUCUCAGGUUAGUUGGUAUUGUCAGUGUGGUGGUCUCAGGUUAGUUAGUAUUGUCAGUGUGGUGGUCUCAGGUUAGUUUGUAUUGUCACUGUGGUAGUCUCAGGUUAGUU
rnacentral:lncRNA from 1 species